rnacentral:misc_RNA from 1 species
AGCAGCCGCGGUAAUUCCAGCUCCAAUAGCGUAUAUUAAAGUUGUUGCAGUUAAAAAGCUCGUAGUUGAAUUUCGGGAUUAGUAAGUUGGUCGUGCCUCCGGUAUGUACUGGCUCCACUGGUUCCUCCUUCUUGAAGAACUGUAAUGUCAUUAAUUUGGUGUUGCAGGGAAACAGGACUGUUACUUUGAAAAAAUUAGAGUGUUUAAAGCAGGCUAACGCUUGAAUACAUUAGCAUGGAAUAAUGAAAUAGGACGUUUGACCCUAUUUUGUUGGUUUCUAGGAUUGACGUAAUGAUUAAUAGGGAUAGUUGGGGGCAUUAGUAUUCAAUUGUCAGAGGUGAAAUUCUUGGAUUUAUUGAAGACUAACUACUGCGAAAGCAUUUGCCAAGGAUGUUUU